CACAAAGCGGCCCGCCCGCCCCCGCCGCGCUGGCCAAUGGGAGGCGGCAGCGGGAGGGAGGGCACCGCCCACGUGAGCGCGGAGUGCUGCGGUGGGGGGAGCCGGGACCGGGUCAGCGGUGCCCGGGGGCUGUGCCCGGGGGCUCAGCCCGGGGCCGCUCCCCGCUGCCCGCUCACACGGGACCUGUCCUAGCCAGCGUCGGGCUGGGAAAGCCCUUCCGCGGGGACAAGAGUGCCGGAGGCUCGUCCGUGCCUGCCCCGAGGCCCCGGGGAAGGAGCAGAGCCCGCGGGGCAGGGCCGUGCUGCAGAGGGCGGCAGGAGGCUGAGGAACCCCGCGGGCUUUGCAAGUCGAGCCCCGAGCUGGGGCGGGAGAAACGAGAGAGAAGGAAAAGAGCUGAAGGACUGAGCCCCCUGCUUGGGGGGCAGAAAGGAACGGGCCAGCAGAUGCGCUCAGCCGGUCGCCAGAAGCACCGGGUGGGAGGGGCAGAGGCUCAGGGCUUCCCGAGCAGCGGCCCGGCCCCUCCGCCAGUAGACCUUCCCUGUUGCGCUGAGGAGGGCUCAGGGAGAAGCUGUGGUGGGACAGCAGUGAGGGCUGGAGGCAUGACAGGCUGAAAGCGCCCGGCCUGGUCCCAGCCCUCCCCCGCCCUCGAAACGAGGAGGGCUCAGAGGGACGAUACCUGGCACGGAACCGGGACCAGCCUGCUCGGCAGCCCUCGGCUCGCCUUCGUCCUCCGCACGGACUGACCAUGGGACUGAGUUUUGGGUUGACACCGUGCCAGGCUCGUCACACGGCAGGAAAUUGUCCGUGUAAAAAUAGAACUUUUAUUAAAACAGUCAUGAAUGGAGCAGCUGAAGUGUCUGAGUCAUGCACGGUACAGCUCGGACUCAUCUGGUAUCUCAGGACCGCGCAGGAGGCUGAAAACCGCUUCAGGAGAAGAGCUGCCGCCUGGCAGGACUCCUGGCCGGCUCCGCCGGCAGGGCAUUGAAGCCUCAGCCAUUUCAAAGCAGAAAACCCACUCGUUUGGGGUGUGCCGGGGAGGGCAUUGCCCACUCGCAGCAGCAGCUUCAAUGCCACGAAGGGCUGCAGGUGCUUGGCUCUACUGGGCACAGUGGUGGAGGCACCUGCAGGAGGCAGACAGAAAUUGAGGCACAAUUCGAGGCUGACUUCCCUGCCUGGCGCCUGCUGGAAGACAACGGCUGGUGCUGCCGGCGGAGUUUCGUUGUGCCGCUCUCCGGAGCCCUUGCUUGGGGCUGCGGUGGCAGCAGAGCUCGCACUGCCUGCCGCAGGGGUUAAUCUUUUCUCCCGCCGCCGCACAGGCGUGGAUGUAAAUAAAUGCAGCAGAACAAA